CCGAGCAUAAAUGAGCUUGAAUUAGAUUGUUAAGCACAAAACCCUAACAUAUGUCAACAUAAGAACAAAUAUAACUCAAGAGGCUACAUACCCACGCAUUUAUAGAUAUCUGAUUUGUUGGGGCACUCAUAUAGUGAGAUCAUUUUUUUUAAAAAAUUUAAGCUUUAAUAAAGGAUAAGCUCUAUUAAUUAUAUUAUCAAUUUAAAACCAGACUCUUAAGGCUUUAAAGCUGCCUUUUCAUGUAACAAUGAAACACCUAAAAUUCUCUAAUAGAUAUAAUACUUACCAACACAUAUUAACAAACUAAAUUAUUACAGAAAAUAAUUAGAUAAUUAACAUUACGGUAUAAAAAUUUAACCUAUAAACCAUCUAAAAAAAAUUUUUACAACUAAUACAAAAAAAAGGAACUCGGCAAACCUUAUUUCUGACUGUUUAACAAAAACAUUGCCUUUAGAUUAAAUAUUAAAGGUCAAUCUGCCCAGUGAAGUAUACAAUAGUUACAAAUUUUCAACGGCCGCGGUAUUCCUGACCGUGCUAAGGUAGCACAAUCAUGAGCCUCUUAAUUAGGGGAUAGUAUGAAUGAAUCAACAAGAAAUCUGCUGUCUCUUUUUUGCACAUUGAAAUUUAGCUCUAGGUGCAAACUCCUAGAUUAUUAAUAAAGACAGAAAGACCCUAUAAGCUUUUACCAUAAUAUUUUAUAAAUACAAAGGUAUUUAAUUGGGGCGAUUUUAAGUAAAAAACACUUAUUAUAUUUUAGAGAAAUUCCUCAUUACAUCUAUCUAAUAGCACAUAAGUAAGCUACUAUAGGGAUAACAGGCUAAUACUUCUCAAGAGCACAUAUCAACAGAAGUGCUUAGCACCUCGAUGUUGGCUUAAGGAACCCAACUUACGCAAAAGUAAAAAAGGGGGGUUUGUUCAACCUUUAAUUCCUUACAUGAGCUGAGUUCAGACCGACGCAAGUCAGGUUAGUUCCUAUCUUAUCCACCAAUCAUAAUAGUACGAAAGGACCUUGUGAU
rnacentral:rRNA from 1 species